rnacentral:lncRNA from 1 species
CCGGUUGUCUGGCACUCCUCCAGCGUCUUAUGAUAGAUAAGCAUAUCAUCCCACUUGUUGGACAUCCGGAACUCAUCAUCUCCAAAGAAGUCCCUCACUUCCUCUGGAGUUGCAUUCUCAAAGAUAGUACUACUCUGAUAUUGGGGAGGUCCGGUCUAAUUUCAUCCAAACAAAACUCAAUCAUUAUCGGAACACGAAAUUAAGUAAACAAAGAAGCACACUACAUUUCAAUUUUGCAAAAGAACAGCUCAUGAAGAAUUGUUCACCUGGGCAUCCCUCCUCCACGCCUGGUAGGUCAUGGUGGGCAGCGACUUCUCCAUCAUCUUGAUCCAGGCCGGGCCGCCGUCCCUGCCUUCCACCAGCCUCCAAAGGUUCACCAGGUCUUCCUUCCCCACAGCUAGCUCCUCGUUCGCCAUCUCCGACGACCUGCCAAGCACCACCACCAUUCCGUCAAAGGCGGGCUCCCUUUCACACGCCAAAAUCCACCAAAAACACGGCUUUGACCACAACCCAGACCAAGAACCAUAGCGCAUUUCUCCAAAGUUGGCGAGCCUACAUACCCUUGCGCGGCGGCCUUGUCCUCCUCCCGCUGCUGCACGGCGGUCCCAGCGUAGCCGAGCGGCGCCCGGAGACGGGCGGGGAGCUGGGCCUUCCAGAAGUCGAGCGUGGCGAAGGGCGCUUGCGCCGGCGCCGGUGCAGCGGCACUGCCGUCGGCGGUGGCGACGAGACCGGCGGCCCAGCGCGGGCGCCAGGCCCAGCCGAGCAGAAGGCCGAUGAGGGCCGCCGCCCAGAGGGGCCCCGCGAGGAGCGCCAUCUCCCAGACCGCCCCCCACGCCGUGGGCUGCUCCAGCACCCUCGCCACCGCCGACAGCACGUACCCCAUCGGAGCCGACCGGGCGGGCGGCGACGGCGUGGGGGGACGGACGCGGCGGUGCGGAUGGGGGGUGUGGGGAGGAGAAGAGGGGCAGGAAGGAAGGAACGGGGCUUUGCGGCCUACGGAG